AUUGAACGCUGGCGGCAGGCUUAACACAUGCAAGUCGAGCGGGGUGAUGGUGCUUGCACUAUCACUUAGCGGCGGACGGGUGAGUAAUGCUUAGGAAUCUGCCUCUUAGUGGGGGACAACAUCUCGAAAGGGAUGCUAAUACCGCAUACGUCCUACGAGAGAAAGCAGGGGAUCACUUAUGACAUUGCGCUAAUAGCUGAGCCUAAGUCGGAUUAGCUAGUUGGUAGGGUAAAUGCCUACCAAGGCGACGACCUGUAGCGGGUCGGAGAGGAUGCUCCGCCACACUGGGACUGAGACACGGCCCAGGCUCCUACGGGAGGCAGCAGUGGGGAAUAUUGGACAAUGGGGGGAACCCUGAUCCAGCCAUGCCGCGUGUGUGAAGAAGGCCUUAUGGUUGUAAAGCACUUUAAGCGAGGAGGAGGCUCUUUUGGUUAAUACCCAAGAUGAGUGGACGUUACUCGCAGAAUAAGCACCGGCUAACUCUGUGCCAGCAGCCGCCGUAA
rnacentral:rRNA from 1 species